rnacentral:lncRNA from 1 species
UUGUCCCUCGCCGCCGCCACUCUCUCCAAAAUCCCACCUCGGGAUCCUCCCAGAUCCCCUUCUCCUCGGUUUCCUCCUCUACCCAAUCCCGAAGGCACUGCGGUCUCCUCUGCUUCCCUCGUCCUUGUUUGAUCCCAGGGGCAGCCACCGCAUCGCUGUUCCCCUGCCUCGGCCUCGCGAUCCCGCGCCUCCCUCCUACAGCCCAUGCAAGUCACCAGGAGGUGGGUUCCCGUGCUGCACAGGAGCUCCUCGUCGCCCGGAUCCGUUCCCCAGGCCGCCGGACCUUCCUGCAAGCGUCCUCGCCGGUGACCAGCAGGUCCCAACGCCACCCUUUUUUUCUUUUCCUGUCUCCUCUGUUACCUGCUCUCGAUCCCCCUCUGUCUCAUGUCCCUGUCUCUCUUCCCGCCAUGGACAGGUACCAACAAACCGUCAGCCACCAGGAGCUCAAGACGCCGCUACUCCUCGCCGGACCGCUGCCUCCGGCUACCUCCACCUCGCCGGUGAGGCCUCGCCGCCGUGCGCCCCUGAUUUUCUCUCUCUCUCUCUCUCUCUCUUUGGCCGCUCUGACCUCUCAUGAUCUCCCCCUUUUCUCUUUGAACAGAAGUAGGAGCUCCCAUGGCCGCCGCCGCCCUGGCUGCCCCAUAGGAGUUCUCUGCCGCCGGAUCGGGUCGCCUCCACCCGGUUCCUCUCGCGCCGACCGCCCGCGCCGGAGUCCUGCGCCAAGCCGCCGCCGUUGCCUCUGUUUCCCGCCGCUGCACCAUGCUGCAACGAACGCCUGCUCGAUCCAACCGCCCCGCGUUGACCGAUCCACUGGCCUGCGCUAGCCCAGCGAGACCUCCUGCAGCCCAGCACCACCAACCGGGCCUUGGCCCAUGGGUGAGCUGCCCCACCUUCUUGUUGGGCUCGUGAUUCAGAUUCGGCCUGACUAAUGUUUUUUUUCGUGCUGCGAUUUUAACAUUAUCCAGUGUAUUUCAGUUUUGCAGAAAACCCCUCAUAUAUCAUACAUUUAAUAACUCAUAAACCAUGCAUCGGUUUAAAAUGAUAUUAACAUGUAAAAUGCUUAGAAUUUUGUGUAGAUUAAUAAUAUUCCACUUUCAUCCAUGUUUAAAAUGUUUAAAAUGUUGUUUGUUUAAAUUUGCUCAAAUGCCAUGCUAAAAUGCUUUAUUUCAUAACUAAAUAACCGUAACUCUGUUUUAAAUAAACUUUAUAUGCAAAUGGGGUGGAAAAAUGCCUAGUUUAACAUGGUCUAGUUUAUUUUCCUGUUUAACAACCUUAAAAUAUGGUUUAGGGCAGAACAGUACCUAAUCGAAAAUAUGCAUAUGGGGAUUUUCUGAAAUUGUUGUUUGUUGUUCCGGCCCCAUUUAAACUUGCCUAGAUAGUUAGUUUACUUAUGUUUCAUCUCUUGCCAUGUUUAACAACAUUUAAUAUUGUUGUGUACCUAAACAAGAGUGAACUAAAUAACUCGAUGUGGUGUUUUGUCAAUAUGCAACUCAUUGCAUAUUGAGCUCCACUUAAUUUGUAGUAUUGUUUGUUGCAUAAGGCCAUGCCAUGCCUCAUUAAACCGGACAUGCAUCAUACUUGAUUGUGCAUCAUGCCAUGAUUAUGCUUGUGUGUUUACCAUGUUGCUUGCUUCUUUCCGGUUUGCUUCUCUUGUUAGCUUCGGUUUCGUUCCGGAGUUGUGAGGAUUCGUUCGACUACGUCCGUUUGUCUUCUUCGUGGACUCGUUCUUCUUCCUUGCAGGAUCUCAGGCAAGAUGACCAUUACCCUCGAUAUCACUUCUAUCUUUGCUUGCUAGUUGCUUCAUUCUAUCGCUAUGAUGCGCUACCUAUCACUUGUUUACCAUGCCUCCCAUAUUGUCAUGUCAGCCUCUAACCUUUUCACCCUUCCUAGCAAACCAUUGUUUGGCUAUGUUACCGCUUUGCUCAGCCCCUCUUAUAGCGUUGUUAGUUGUAGGUGAAGUUGAAGAUUGCUCCAUGAUGGACAGGAUUAUGUUGGGAUAGCACAAUAUCUCUCAUUUAAUUAAUGCAUCUAUAUACUUGGUAAAGGGUGGAAGACUCGGCCUUAUGCCUGGUGUUUUGUUCCACUCUUGCCGCCUUAGUUUCCGUCAUAUCGGUAUUAUGUUCCCGGAUUUUGCGUUCCUUACACGGUUGGGUGAUUUAUGGGACCCCCUUGACAGUUUGCUUUGAAUAAAACUCCUCCAGCAAGGCCCAACAUUGGUUUUAACAUUUGCCACCUAAGCCUUUUUCCCUUGGGUUCUGCAGACUCAAGGGUCAUCUUUAUUUACCCCCCGGGCCAGUGCUCCUCCGAGUGUUGGUCCAAACUAGAGCACCGUGCGGGACCAUUCCUUGGCAACUUGGAUUACGUCAGUUCCUAUACGCUUCACUUAUCCGGUGUGCCUUGAGAACGAGAUAUGUGCAGCUCCUAUCAGGAUUUGUCGGCACAACUGGGCGGCUUUGCUGGUCUUGUUUUACCAUUGUCGAAAUGUCUUGUAAACCGGGAUUCCGAGUCUGAUCGGGUCUUCCUGGGAGAAGGUAUAUCCUUCGUUGAUCGCAAGAGCUUAUCAUGGGCUAAGUUGGGACACCCCUGCAGGGUAUAAACUUUCGAAAGUCGUGCCUGCGUUUAUAGGCAGAUGGGAAUUUGUUAAUGUCCGGUUGUUAGGACCCCGACUCGAUGCCACAUCGAUCUAGCAUGUAACACCUCAUAUCACUUUGCGGCCUCACGCACGGUUUUCCCACGGGUGUCCUCUUACCUUUGCCCGGGACCGUUUGCGCCUUUUGGCACACGUAUAUGAUAGUGUCGCUAGCAUCCAUAUGGUAAGGAGCCCGGGCUGACAUGGCUAGUCGUAAACCCAAAGUGGCACAGACUUACAGGGACAGGCAUCCAUGACCCAGCAUCGAACGUGUCGGUCAUCAGCAAGUGAAUCCAGGCUGUAGCACUGGGCUAGCAGGACUCCGGUAAAUCGGGCUGUAGCGGGCUAACAGGACUCCGGUAUCCAUCGUGUGACAUUUCCCCGAAGGGACAGAAACAGGAACAAAGAAGGACACAUGCCGGCCAGCCUAAGUGUUCCGGAGCAGUAGCAAGCUACCAAGGCUCAGUGGAGACACUAGGAGACAUUUCCCAGUAAGAGAGGCUACUAAGAAUAAACAACUAGAUAGUCAGAUCCCACACAUACCAAGCAUUUCAAUCAUACACACAAUAUGCUCGAUAUGUGCAAAUACAACAAGGCAUCACAACAUGACUCUACGACACCAGUACUUUAUUUAAGGCUCAGAGAGCCAUACAUAUCAUACACACAAGUACGGGUCACACGACCCAGCAUUCAAGUCAUACAGACAUACAAGCCAACAGCGGAAGUAACUUGUCUGGGUACAGACAACUAGUAAAAUAAAAGAGGCUUGGGAAAGCCUGGCUAUACUACGUGGUCCUUCACAAGCUCAGGAUCACCACCUGGGCCUCGGUAUACUCAUCGAUGUCAACUUCUACGAAGAACCCAUCAGAAGGGGUUGCAGCGUCUUCUGAAAAAUGUAAAUUAAAGCAACAUGAGUACAAAGGUACUCAGCAAGACUUACAUCAGAUCCUACAUACAUGCACAUUAUCAAGAAGGGUUGGUGGGGUUAUUGCAGCAAGCCAGCUUUGACUCUUGGCUAAGCUAUCCUACGAUACACCAACUUGAAAUGGUUUUGCGCACACGAGUACACUACUCACCACUUCAAUACACCACCGAGGAUCCACCUCCGUCAUCCUACGGAAGAACCAUCCUUGGCACUCACGCUUAUCUUGAGAUUUUUAGUAGUAUCCAUUUACUUGUCUAUGAACUGUAUAGGAAACCAAGUAGUCCUUUACCGCGGACGCGGCUAUUCGAAUAGAUAAUGUUAACCCUGCAGGGGUGUACUUCUUCAUACACGCUCUCACCACUUACCGCCGUUUACACGACAUGUACUCGGCAACCUUCAAGCGGAAGCCCAACGUGGGUGUCGGCCACGACCUACCUAAACACCUAAUUCUCUAGUCCAGGUUUAUCGCCUAUCCAGGUUCCAUCCGCAGGGAGUCCGGCCGAGGUUUCCACAUACGGCCCCGAACGAUGUGUACAGGGUUCCCGAGAUACCUAACGGGUAUCCGGUACACCGUGCCACAUACCUACCGCAUCACAGCCCACCGCUAUGGUCAGCGCUGUCCACGGCCUCCAGUAGGCUACAAACACCAGAAAUUACUUGCAACUCCUGGACAGAGGACUAGGGUGAAUAAGAAGCCGAGAGGGUCCAUUGGUUUCAGGCCCAAUGCAUGGUAGUAGAUGAUUCUUAAAUCACACAUACAGAUCUCAGUGCUUAAGGACGGCUUCAAUGAAACAACCCACCAUGUACUCCUACAUGGCCUUUCAUCGAUACCUUUACCAAAUCGUGUUCACCACAUCACUCUCAUUACCGGCAUGAUCAUUUCACUCUAGCCCAUCACCCAGAUGAACCAGACCUGACUCGACUCUAAGCAUAGCAGGCAUAGCAAGGUAGGAACAACACAUACAUAUGGCUCAAUCAACUCCUACACAUGCUAGUGGGUUUCAUCUAGUUACUGUGGCAAUGACAGGUCAUGCAGAGGAAAUGGGUUCAACUACCGUAGCACACAGCAGUUUGGAACGCGUUGUCUUAAUGCAGUAAAAGAGAGCAGAAGCGAGAACAUGGGAUUGUAUCGAUAUGAUCAAAUGGUUGGUUGCUUGCCUGAUGGGUCGAUGCACUGAUAUUGUUCUUCGUUGGGGUAAUCACGAUACUCCUCAAGGGCAGGACCUGCCGCAGAGAGCACCGAUACACAACAUCACCAAACAAUAUGCAGUAAUAUGAUGCAUGCAUGAAACAUGGCAAUAUGAGUGUGUUGGGCUAAUGCAACUAAAACCAGAUGGGUUUGAACCAUUUUGAAUCAAAGAUUCAAGUUUCAAACUCAUACAUGGCCCUUAUAAGGUGCUUUAACUUGUUCUGCAAUAAACAGUAGGUUAGCUUGUUUAAACAUGCAUGAAACUAGUACAGAUGGAUAGAUUGGAUUUUUCUGAUCAUUUUUCAUAUAUAACACUUUGCAUUUGGAGUUAUGGUUGAUUUACUAUGAAUUUUUGAAGUUUGGGGGAUUUUCUGGAAUUUAUAAAUCAUUCUAGAUUUAUUUUAAUUCCAGAAAAGGAUUACUGCGUCAGCAUGAUGUCAUGCUGACCUCAGCAGGUCAAUAGGCCGGUCCAGGUCAAACUGACCAGUGGGUCCCGCAUGUCAGCACAAUUAGUUUAGCUAAAAAUUAAUUAGAACUAAACCGGAUUAGUUAACAGGGCUGGGCCCCACCUGUCAUUGACUCAACAGAGUCAACCAGGGCC